GAGAGCGUACUGUCAGGAUUACCCGAAUGAUUGGGAUAAAGACAGGCCCAGAUGGAGGUGGAGGCCAUGCUCGACGAGGACAGCAUCGAACCAAGCCCGAGCGAGUGGAGUUCACCGAUCGUCUUAGUUCCCAAACCUGAUGGGACUCAACGAUUAUACGUGGAUUAUCGGUCAACCCCGUUAUAAAAUCGCUCUCAUAUCCAAUCCCGAGAUUGGAGAGCUGUGUCCAGAAAGUCAGACAAGUCACUUACAUCACCAAGUUGGUCUUACUGCGUGAUUACUGGAAAGUACCUUUGUCAGAGACAGCGAAAUAAAUUUCUGCGUGUCUAACCCCAAAUGGGCUAUAUCAGUUUAAAGUGAUGCCCUUUGCAAUGAAGACCACACCCGCCACAUUCCAAAGGCUCAUGAACAGAGUUGUGGCUGGGUUAACAAACUGUGCAUGUUGAUUUGGACGAUGUAGUGAUCUCUAGUGAGUCCUGCAAAGAUGACAUGGUGCAGUUGUUGGAGCUCUUUGAACGACUACAAGAAGCAAGACUGGUGACAAACCUAAAUAAAACGGAAGUCGCGAAAGCAGAGGUGACGUUCUUGGGACAUAACACCGGUCAUGGAAGGUUGAGCCCAUGGAACACAGAGACGAAGGCCAACGAGGAACUUCCACGACCAAACUCGAAGAAAGAGGUGCUUUGAUUCUUAGGACUCUGCGGAUUCUAUCCGAAGUUUGUUCCAAACGUCAGUGGUGUCGUGGCACCAUUGACCGAUUGGCUGAAGCAGAACACAAUGUUUCGGUGGACAGAACAACGUCAGGAGGCAUUCGACCAUUUCAAAUCGAUAUUCACCCCCAAACCAGUCUUAGCCACACCAAACAUUUCAAAACCUUUUAAAGUCACCACCGAUGCGAGUGACAGUGGAGUUGGGGCUGUACGCCUGCAGGAAGAUGAGGGUGGGAUUGAGCUGCCAGUUGGUUACUUUCCACUUUCCAAAGAAGAUGAACAUCCCCCCCCAGAGGAAAUACUCCACGAUGGGAAAGGAACGAUUGAGUUUGGUUCUGGCCUUACAGCAUUUUAAUGUGUAGGUCAUGAACAAUGUGUCAGAGUCAGUUGUGUAAACAGAUCACAAACCUCUUACAUUCUUAGAAUACUUUAAAGAUAAGAAUAUGAGACUAUUUUGUAGGAGUCUUAUGUUACAGAGUUUUAAUUUAAAAAAAGGUGAACUUAGAUUGAAGUUAUCGGAAUGUUAGCGUAAUGCGCUUUAAGAAUAGAAAAAU